rnacentral:lncRNA from 1 species
AGCCGGUGGUUCAGGUGGCCGGUCGGGCUGGAAGGGCGGGGAUGAGGGAUGGGACGCAUCCCCGGGGGAUGCUCCUCCAAAGCUUUUAUCGGGCGAGCGCAGUGGCUCACGCCUGUAAUUCCUGCACUUUGGGAGGCUAAGGGUCUCACUCUAUUGUCUAGGCUCGAAUGCAGUGACGUGAUCAUGGAUCACUGCAGUCCUCAACUUACUGGGCUCAGAGAUGGGGUUUCACCAUAUUGGCUAUGCUGGUCUCGAACUCCUGACCUUGUGAUCCACCUGCCUUGGCCUCCCAAAGUGCUGGGAUUACAGGAUGAAAGGCUUCCUAGCACAAACACCACCCCUGGAGUUCCCGGUACAUCAAUACCAGCCUGGGGAUCACGUUCUCAUCAAGAGUUGGAAGAGGGAAAGCUUGAACCAGCUUAGGAGGACCUCAUCUGGUACUCUUGAUGAAUGAAACAGCAAUCUGAAUGGCUGAAAAAGGAUGGACCCAGCACUCCAGGGAGAAAACUUGGCAUUCUUUGGGAAUCUAACAGGAUGCAGUGAACCCAAGCCUUUUGAAGAGCUCACCAAUCAGACUGCCCUUGUCUAUCCAUGAGCAGAUGUUUGAUAGUAUUGCGGAGGCCCUCUAGUGGGUAUGCUGCCAAGCAACUGGAGUGGCACUUGGGCUCUAAUCCAGUUGUCUAUCCCUUUCACCCUGGCAUUUCAUCAGCCAAACAAAAACCAACUAACUCAGAAAAAAAGGAAAGCCCCUCAAGGGUCCUUUGACCCCGAUAUCUACAUAGAUGCUAUCGGGGUCCCCUGAGGGGUACCAAACGAAUUCAAAGCUCGAAAUCAAAUAGCUGCUGGAUUCAAGUCUGUCCUUUUCUUGUGGUCUACUAUAAAUAAAAAUGUAGACUGGAUAAAUUACAUAUACUAUAACCAACAACGAUUUGUCAGUUACACCAGGGAUGCCAUUAAAGGAAUAGCUGAACAAUUGGGUUUCACCAGCCAAAUGGCCUGGGAAAAUAGAAUAGCUCUUGACAUGAUAUUAGUGGAAGUCCAAUGUUGUACCUGUAUCCCCAAUAAUACAGCCCCUGAUGUAACUAUCACUAAGGGUCUAUAAGGCCUCACCACUCUAGGAAAUGAACUAGCUGAAAAUUCGGGAAUGAAUGAUCCCUUUACAGGUGUAAUGGAAAAAAUGGUUUGGUAGAUGGAAAGGACUAAUGGCCUCUAUUCUCACCUCCCUUGUGAUCAUAAUAGGGGUGCUCAUUCUCUUAGGGUGCUGUAUUAUACCCUGUGUCUGCGGACUAGUUCAAAAGCUCAUAGAAACAGCCCUUACCAAGACCUCCCACAACUCUCCCCCACCCUAUUCAGAUAAACGUUUAUUUCUAAGCAACCAAGAAGAGCAGUGAAGCCAGAUCCUGUUAGAAAUAUAUGAAGAGGAAGGACUACAAAAUCAAAAGGGGAAAAUUAUUAGACAAAAUGAGUUGCUCUACAAAGGUCCAACUUCGUUGUCCUUUGUUCUGUAACCUUUGUUCUGUAAACUGCCCUUCCCGCAGAAACUGUCUUUCCCGCCGACCAAAACUGCCCUUCACUAUCACUGUAAUCCAUACCCCUACUCUAUUUGAAACUGCCAAUCGGGAUCAGCUUACAUUGUGUGGUUCAACCACCAGCCAAUGAGGAAAAAACACAGAAGCAAAAGCUAUGAUGCAUUAGGGUUAAAAACCCCUUCCUUUCCCUGUCCAAUGUGCUCUUGAGACUGCUACAGGCGCAAGCAGCCACCUUCUGCAGAAGUAAACCUUGCCUUGCUGAGAAAUUUUUCUUUUGAGUGCUGGUCUCUCUCUGUGGCACCAAGAACUUAUUUCUAACAUGGAGUGAUUUCCAAGAUAGAUGGUUAAGUGAAAAUAAAAACUGUUGCCAGGCACGGUAGCUCAUGCCUGUAAUCCCAGCACUUUGGGAGUCUGAGGAGGUUGGAUUAUUUGAGGUCAGGAGUUUGAGACCAGCCUAGCCAACAUGGUGAAAUCCUGUCUCUUCUAAAUAUACAAAAAAUUAGCCGGGCGUGGUUGUGGGUGCCUGUAAUCCCAGCUACUUGGGAAGCUGAGGCAGAAGAAUUGCUUAAACCCAGGAAGCAGAGGUUGCAGUGAGCCGAGAUCACAGCACUGCACUCCAGCCUGGGUGAUAGAGUGAGACUCGGUCUCAAAAACAAUAAUAAUAAUAAUAAUAAUACAAAUAAAAAAAUGAAAAUAAAGGCCAGGUGCUGUGGCUCACCCCUCUAAUCCCAGCACUUUGGGAGGCUGAGGCAGGUGGAUCACAAGGUCAGGAGUUCAAAACCAGCCUGGCCAAGAUGGUGAAACCCCGUCUCUACUAAAAAUACAAAAAUUAGCUGGGCACAGUGGCAGGCGCCUGUAAUCCCAGCUACUUGGGAGGCUGAGGCAGGAUAAUUGCUUAAACCUGGGUGGCAGAGGUUGCAGUGAGCCAAGAUCAUGCCACUGCACUCCAGCCUGGGC